GGGUCUGCUCCCACAAGGAAAUUUUGAGCGUCAAAGUUUUCAUUUCCUGCAUUUUUAUACACUUUAAUUCACCAAUUUACGGUGGAUAUGCCUUUAUGUAGCCUAUGUGAAGAAUAAAACAGAUGACAAUUCAAAAUAUAUAAAAAA